ensembl:snoRNA
GGCACUAUUUUUAACACUGUGGAUGAGAACUUUCUCCACCCUUGGCUACGCUGUAGUGCAGAAGAAUUCCUGGUUCUUUGUUGCACAGCGGACCUCUGCCGUUUUGCUAUUGCUUUAUGGAUUUAAGAAGAAAAA